rnacentral:lncRNA from 1 species
AUGGUGGCUUUCAGUCUUUCUGUGGCUAGCAGGGCAGUCAUGAGUACGGUGCUGACAGCAGUGCAACUGUCCUCUUGCAAUCAAAGAACUUCUCAUAUGAGCUCCUGUGGUUAUGUUGUAAAUGCCAGCUCACAGAGGAUAAAACACUGGACUUGCUUUCAUCCCAAGAGGAAACCCUUUGAAGGAAGGUUUUGUUGGGAACCCUGUGAGAACAGUAUCCUGAGGGGGAGUGUUUUCCUGCAGUUGAUGCCUAUCUGCCUUGCUUCUGUAUUUGGCUGUUUGAUUCAAGAGUAACAGGGAGGUUGUUUUUACUGUGUUCAGAUGUGAGGACUCCUGUGAGUAUCAGUUCAGUAUGGCCUCCCUACCCCUUCCCAUUAAAAGAGGAAGUAGUCAUAUAUCACGCCAGAUUGACAGGAUGGUCAGCGGUAGCUAGCUUGUACUGAAUGCAAAGCCGUGUCAUGCCCAAAUGAGUCACGCCACACUGGGAAGUGUUCAGCUGGUUGGCUCUAGUGAACAAUAUUCCUUUGAGUGAGACUCCUAUGUUAAAGCAUGUAGGGGUAUUACAUUUGCUUGCCUGAGGGCAGUGUUUAAUAGUUUCCUUACUUACUCCCCUGGAAAUUGCUCAUAGGAAAGGAGAGCUCUACAGCCAGGGCAGCAGGUCUGAGUUGAACUCCUGACUGGAGAGCUUUCAUUUCAUUCUGGCUUACGUUAUUGUUUCUUCUUUGUGAAGUAUACCUAUGAAGAUAAUAUAGCUUUGUGUUUCUCUGUUGAGUUGAUUGGCAACAUUUUGAUAGCUCCAUAUUGGAAGUGUAUCCAUUGGUGUAUGCAAUUUCAUUGUAGUAAAAUUUCCUUGUGAAAUUUGUUUCUUUUGCUCUGGACUCUUUCUAAUCUGUCCACUUCCUUCUGGACACAGUACUCCAGGACCCACCUCACCAGUACUUAAUAACGCAAAUGAAAUACUUCUCUUGCUUUACAAGUAAUUCUUCUGUUAAUACAGCCCCCUUUGUUGGUUUGUGUUUUUUGCCAGAACAGCACACUGUUGGGUCAUAUUCAGCUAAUGAGCUCCUAUAACCCCCAGGUCCUUCUCUGCCAUACUGCAGCCUAGCUACUCAUUUCACCAUCCAUUUUUGUGUAUGCAGUUGUUCCAUCCCAAAUGCAGGACUCUGCACUUGUCCUGGCUGAAUCUCAUCUAAUUGACUGCAGACCAUUUCUCCAGUGUAUUCAGGUCAUUGUGGCUCCUAGCCCUACUCUCUCCAGUAUCUGCAGCAUCACCCAACUUUGUGUCAUCUGUAAA